AUUUAUUAAUGUAUUAUGUUGUUAUAAUUUAUACUUAUGAAUUAUGACUUGAUAUGUUAUUUAGUAGGUACCAAUGUAUAUUUACAUUGGUUUGAACGGAUUUAUAAAAAAAAUUCUAUAUCGUAUGUUUACAGUUCAUAACAGCUUCAUGAAAUUCUAAAGUCUUAUGUACGAAGUAGAAAAAAUGAUCACAACGGUUUAGUACUUUUGUUCGGACUUCGUCAACCUGUGCUCGCGUUGUCCAGUCCCACUGCCCCAGGUUGGUAUACUACCUAAGAGACGCUCCUCUUCACCCCGGUCACCGAUACGCAGUUCGCAACGGUCGCGAUGUUUUCGACGGCGCGUAUGUUGGGCGGCUAUCUACUAGUAGAUCAUCCAUAUUCCAGUCAUCUGUCUCAUUGACGAUUGACAGCAAAGCUCCAACAGUUCGCAGUUCGCAGCAGUAUUAGUGUGAAUAACAAAUAUUAUAUUUGUUCGCAUCGUCCAGCUCGGACCUAAACCUCAUGGUUUACAAGCUCCAGCUCAAGUCGGAUCUACCAGCUCAAGUUUGCAGUUCAGCAUCCCGGCUCCCCUUAUUUUGUUGUGUACUGAGCAGCCGUCUCGUUCCCCUUUGUUAUUUUAUUUGUUUUAUAUAUAAUAUUUAUAAAUGGAUAUAUAUAUAUAUAUAUAUAUAUAUGAUAUUAUUAAUUGUGUUAUAUGUACUCUGGUAUGGGACAGAGUAUUUAAUAUAUUAUAAUUUAUUUGAUAUUUUAUUAUUUUAUAUUAAUUAAUCUUGAGACUAAUCGUCUCAGCUAAUAUUUCUAUAGUUUUCUUUUGAUAUAACCUUCAAUAAAGAUUUAUUGUAUUUUAUUAUUAAUUUUCAUCUUGUAUAAUAUAAUAUAUUUAUAUUAGCUCCAUUGUAUCUAGUUCAGGGUGUGCGAGUUCUAGGCGUUAACCGCAGAGUCAGGAGCUCCUGUGCGAACAACUUUGUUUACAUUGAAUUCAUAAGUACUUGUCCAGAUUUUUCUAAUUAUAUCACAAAUUACCUGAUUUUCUCUACCAACUUAAACAUAUAUUUAAAUAUUUAAUGGAAUGAUAUAGCA